AGCGAACGCUGGCGGCAGGCCUAACACAUGCAAGUCGAACGAAGCCUUCGGGCUUAGUGGCGGACGGGUGAGUAACACGUGGGAACGUACCUUGUGGUUCGGAAUAACGCAGAGAAAUUUGCGCUAAUACCGAAUGAGCCCUUAGGGGGAAAGAUUUAUCGCCGAAAGAUCGGCCAGCGUUGGAUUAGGUAGUUGGUGUGGUAAAGGCGCACCAAGCCUACGAUCCAUAGCUGGUCUGAGAGGAUGAUCAGCCACACUGGGACUGAGACACGGCCCAGACUCCUACGGGAGGCAGCAGUGGGGAAUCUUGCGCAAUGGGCGAAAGCCUGACGCAGCCAUGCCGCGUGAAUGAUGAAGGUCUUAGGAUUGUAAAAUUCUUUUACCAGGGACGAUAAUGACGGUACCUGGAGAAAAAGCCCCGGCUAACUUCGUGCCAGCCGCCGCCGUAACAC
rnacentral:rRNA from 1 species